rnacentral:rRNA from 1 species
CAGCCGUAAACUAUGCUCGCUAGGUGUCAGGCAUGGCGCGACCGUGUCUGGUGCCGCAGGGAAGCCGUGAAGCGAGCCACCUGGGAAGUACGGUCGCAAGGCUGAAACUUAAAGGAAUUGGCGGGGGAGCACAACAACGGGUGGAGCCUGCGGUUUAAUCGGACUCAACGCCGGACAACUCACCGGGGGACGACAGCAAUAUGUAGGCCAGGCUGAAGACCUUGCCUGAAUCGCUGAGAGGAGGUGCAUGGCGUAGACGUCU